rnacentral:rRNA from 1 species
CCUAGUUACCAGCACGUUAUGUGGGCACUCUAAGGAGACUGCCGGUGACAAACCGGAGGAAGGUGGGGAUGACGUCAAGUCAUCAUGGCCCUUACGGCCUGGGCUACACACGUGCUACAAUGGUCGGUACAAAGGGUUGCCAAGCCGCGAGGUGGAGCUAAUCCCAUAAAACCGAUCGUAGUCCGGAUCGCAGUCUGCAACUCGACUGCGUGAAGUCGGAAUCGCUAGUAAUCGUGAAUCAGAAUGUCACGGUGAAUACGUUCCCGGGCCUU